rnacentral:rRNA from 1 species
UACAGAGGGUGCGAGCGUUGUUCGGAAUUACUGGGCGUAAAGGGCUCGUAGGCGGCCAACUAAGUCAGACGUGAAAUCCCUCGGCUUAACCGGGGAACUGCGUCUGAUACUGGAUGGCUUGAGUUCGGGAGAGGGAUGCGGAAUUCCAGGUGUAGCGGUGAAAUGCGUAGAUAUCUGGAGGAACACCGGUGGCGAAGGCGGCAUCCUGGACCGAUACUGACGCUGAGGAGCGAAAGCCAGGGGAGCAAACGGG